AUGGACUUCCUGCACCAAUGAACAGAUAGCUGGCAUCGGGACAGGCUCCUCGAGGCUCCCAAACAUUUCGGGGAGGACGAGACCAUUAGAAAUCUGGGCACAUCCACCUCUACCCUGUUCCCUGCGUUCUCACUCUGCCCAGGCUGCCAGACCUGCUGUCUCCCAGGCCUGUGGCUCCCAUCUGAGAUUCCCCAGGAAGGCAGAUCUGACUGGAUGCUUCCACAGGGUCAGAAGGACACCUUGUGACUUAAGCAAGCACCUGUGGCUCGGUCUCCAAGAUCCUUUAAUACAAAGAGGUGAGGUGGUCUUUGUAGCAGCUUCUCCCGGUUUGAGCAAGUGGGGUGGAGCUGAUGUGAGUCCUAGGCUGAUAGCAUUACAGCAUUCCUGAGCUGGCCAGAUGACAGACGUGAGCCCGGGCCUGGGCUGCAAUGGUCCACAACAUGUGAGUGCAUCCGAACCCCAUAGGACUUAUUAAACUAUUCUCGGAGGCCCACACCCACUGCUAGGGUCGGUAGGUCUAGGAUAAGGUCCUAAACAAUUUUAUUUUUAACAAACUCCCAGGACAAACUCCCAGAACCUCCAGGGCCACAAAGAACAGAUUUUAAAUCUCAACAGACUGGCCUCCAAAGCUCACUUAAAGAUUUGGGCCUCGGAUUGAGCUCAUCCAAGGGACAUCCGCACUGAAACAGUCCCCUGAAGAAACUCCCCUGCCUCCACACAAAUCCAACCCACAACCUGGCUGGUCUCCAAGCCUGGGACCACAGGGAAAGGCCUUUGUCAAAGCAGAGGCUGUUUUGAAAGGCUAUUCGGUCAAACAAGAACCAACUGUGCCCCCCUGUGGCCACCGGCUUUCACUGACUUCCAGGAUCAGCUUCUCUGGUCAGACUCUGCUUCCCUUUGGGGACCAAGCCUGGCUGUACCACAAGUGAUAGCAAUUAUCCUCUUUGGUGCUACAGGAUAAAAAGAGAGGUUACAAAUGUAAAGUCUAUCCUGGGGUGUAGAGCAUGGACUUGCCUAGCAUGCAUGAAGCCCUGGUUCAAUUCCCAGUACCAAAUAAAAGACACUCAUUGUGGCACAUGCGUGCAAUCCCAGCACUGGGGGUGGGGGUGGGGUGGCAGUAAUGAUCUAAUUCAAAGUCAUCCUUGACUAUAGUGUUUCAGGCUAUCCUCAUGAGUCUGUCGGAGACACUGAUGCUGCGAAGAUAGCUCAGUGGAUAAAGCACUUGCCAAACAAGUGAGGGGCCCAGCAUUGAAAUCCCCAGAACCCACAAAAAAUUCAGAUGUGGUGGUCACCUAUAAUCCUUGCAACUCACAAAUCAGAAAUGGAAUCAUUUUACAAGCUGACUUGAAAAGGGAAAACCCCUGGUGUUCCCCUGUACUGGGGCAUAUAAAGUUUGCAAGACCCUGGGGCCUCUCUUCCCAGUGACGGCCGACUAGACCAUCUUCUGCUACAUAUGCAGCUAGAGACACGAGCUCUGGGGUACUGGUUAGUUCAUAUUGUUGUUCCACCUAUAGAGUUGCAGACCCCUUCAGCUCCUUGGGAGUGGGUAGGUAGGGGAGCAGGGCGGGGAGGGUAUAGGGAACUUUCGGGAUAGCAUUUGAAAUGUAAAUAAAGAAAACAUCUAAUAAAAAUAAAUUUUUUUUAAAAAA
rnacentral:lncRNA from 1 species